GUUAUUUGAGGACAGAACAGGCAUCUGUCACGCCCUUGUGGUUUGGAAAGAGAUGUGGGAUACGCCACCCCACCAAAUAAC
rnacentral:ncRNA from 23 species